CCAUGUAACCAUAUGUGCCGAGGA
rnacentral:siRNA from 1 species